rnacentral:rRNA from 1 species
GACGAACGCUGGCGGCGUGCCUAAUACAUGCAAGUCGAACGCAGUGGGGACGGGUGAGUAACACGUGGGUAACCUCCCAUCAGAGGGGAUAACACUUGGAAACAGGUGCUAAACCGAUACUGAUGGAUGGACCCGCGGUGCAUUAGCUAGUUGGUGAGGUAACGGCUCACCAAGGCCACGAUUCAGAGCCGCCCUGUGCGGGGGAUCGGCCACACUGUGACUGUGACCUGGCCCAGACUCCUACGCGAUGCAGCAGUUGGGAAUCUUCGGCAAUGGACGAAAGUCUGACCGAGCAACGCCGCGUGAGUGAAGAAGGUUGUCGGAUCGUAAAACUCUGUUGUUAGAGAAGCGGUAUCUAACCAGAAAGCCACGGCUAACUCCGUGCCAGCAGCCGCGGUAAUAC